CGAGCGAACGGGGAGCAGCCCAGAGCCUGAAUCAGUGUGUGUGUUAGUGGAAGCGUCUGGAAAGGCGCGCGAUACAGGGUGACAGCCCCGUACACAAAAAUGCACAUGCUGUGAGCUCGAUGAGUAGGGCGGGACACGUGGUAUCCUGUCUGAAUAUGGGGGGACCAUCCUCCAAGGCUAAAUACUCCUGACUGACCGAUAGUGAACCAGUACCGUGAGGGAAAGGCGAAAAGAACCCCGGCGAGGGGAGUGAAAAAGAACCUGAAACCGUGUACGUACAAGCAGUGGGAGCCUCUUUAUGGGGUGACUGCGUACCUUUUGUAUAAUGGGUCAGCGACUUAUAUUCUGUAGCAAGGUUAACCGAAUAGGGGAGCCGAAGGGAAACCGAGUCUUAACUGGGCGUUAAGUUGCAGGGUAUAGAC
rnacentral:rRNA from 1 species